rnacentral:rRNA from 1 species
CCUANGGGGGGCUGCAGUCGAGAAUCUUCCACAAUGGGCGAAAGCCUGAUGGAGCGACGCCGCGUGACUGAUGAAGUCCUUCGGGACGUAAAGGUCUUUUAUAGGGGAGAAAGUCGGGAUUUAUUCCGGCGUGAUAGUACCCUAGGAAUAAGAGGUUGCUAAACUCGUGCCAGCAGCAGCGGUAAUACGAGUGCCUCAAGCGUUAUCCGGAAUUAUUGGGCGUAAAGGGUGUGUAGGCGGUCUUGUUAGUCUUUUGUUAAAACUCGCGGCCUAACCGCGAAAGUGCGAAAGAAACGGCAAGACUAGAGAGUGUGAGAGGUCUGUGGAACUCAUGGUGUAGGGGUGAAAUCCGUUAAUAUCAUGGGGAACACCAAAGGCGAAGGCAACAGACUGGCGCAUUUCUGACGCUGAAACACGAAAGCGUAGGGAGAGAAUGGGAUUAGAUACCCUANUAGUC